CACACUAGUACAGUACCAAGCAACCAAACAAACGCAUCUGCCAUCCACUUGAGCUUUCUCCCCCCCAUCCCACAACCCAUUUCUUCGAACUGAAAAAGCUAUGGUGAAGAAGAAGAAAUCAGAAAAUCAACUGGAAGAAGAAUCAAACCCAGAAGCAUUAGAACGUAAAAGACUCAAAAAACUUGCUUAUACUACCAACAUUCUAUCACAAACACCUGCUAAAGGAUUUUCUCCUCUUAAUCCCUCUAAAACUGUCAUCAAACACCAUGGCAAAGACAUUUUGAAGAAAUCCCAAAGAAAAAAUCGGUAUCUUUUCUCGUUUUCUGGUCUUAUUGCCCCUAUUUCCGGCGGCAAAAUUGGUGAUCUUACUGAUUUGGGUUCCAAAAACCCUAUCUUAUACCUUGAUUUUCCCAUGGGGAGGAUGAAGUUGUUUGGGACGAUUGUAUACCCGAAGAAUCGUUACUUGACUUUGCAGUUUUCUCGCGGUGGCAAAAAUGUCAUGUGUGAAGAUUGCUUUGACACCAUGAUUGUAUUUUCCGAUGCCUUUUGGGUUGGGAAGAAAGAUGAAAACCCAGAUGAAGUCAGAAUGGAUUUCCCAAAAGAGCUGUAUGAGGGAGAGCAUCCCGAGUUUGAUUUCGAUGGUGGUGCUAGUGCUGGUGCAACUGCUAUGACGAUUAAAGAUGUGAAGAAAGUUUUUACCAAAUCUGCUGAAGAAGAGUCACCUGUCGAUGAGAUGGACGUUGAAUCACCGGAAAAACAUGAAAGUCAGAAAGAUGUGGAAAACAACACGCCAGUCCGGCAAUCAGGGAGGACAGUUGGCAAAAAAUUCAAUUUUGCGGAAGUAUCUUCGGGUGAAGAUUCUGACGAGAGUUUCAGCGAUAUGUCCGGAGAAGUACAUGAGGGAAAUUCUAAGAGUUCCAAGUCAGGCUCAGUUGAUCUGUAUCCUCAAAAUCAAGAGAGCUCAGUAGAGAUAACUGAAUCUAAAGACGCUGCACAACCAAUGCUGCCUUCGUUGUCGAGUUCUGUAGCUAAGGAAUCUUCUCGUAUACUUGCCCAGUCCACUAUUACUACUCUAUUCAAGAAAGUUGAAGAAAAGAAUAAGUCCAGGAGUUCAAAAAAGAUUGCUGCUUUAUCUAAUGAGAAUAAACAGAUGAAUACUUCAAAAUCAACCAUCAAGCAAUUGAAGGCUGCAGAUAAGAAGAAAACGGACAUUAUCUCUCAAGACAAAAAAGCAGACGCAAGAAAUGACAGAAAGAAACAGAAAGCUGAGCCUGCUGAGGUUGAAGAUGACAUCGAGGAAUCCUCAAGUGCUUUCGAGGAUACCGAAGAAAGCGAUGAGGAUUGGUGUGCUUGAAUGUUUGCAUUGUUUCCUGCGAUUGUUUAAGGAUAUCUGGGAACUCUUGUGCAGGAAAUAACUGGAACAUUCAUUCACUCAUUUGUAUCAUUUGCUUCUAUGAUUGGAAAACUGUCGACCCCUCGAUAUGCACACUAGAUCGAGCUUAGCACAGCGAUACAGAGGGAUCCAUAACCAUCUCGUACUGAAUGUUGGCUCAAUCAUGGACUCAUCUGAGCAGAAGUUUACUAAUCAAAAUUUUAAGAAUAUGCCUAAACUUUCACGUUUGAGAGGGAUAUGCCGAGAGAAUGGAAGAACUAGGUGAGAGUCAAACUUUCGUAACACGUAACAGUCAUUCUAAUGGAUAUUUUUGAUAGUUGAUUAUUUUGAUUUUUAUAAAACUUGUCUAAGGGAUUUCAUAUAAUUUUUUUUUUUUGCAAA